GGACGAACGCUGGCGGCGUGCCUAAUACAUGCAAGUCGAACGAGCUCUCCCAAAUUGAUUUUAUGCUUGCAUAAAUGAUUUUUGGAUUCGGAGCGAGUGGCGAACUGGUGAGUAACACGUGGGUAACCUACCCCGAAGCGGGGGAUAACAUUUGGAAACAAGUGCUAAUACCGCAUAAUUAGUUGGAACCGCAUGGUUCCAACUUGAAAGAUGGCUCUGCUAUCACUUUGGGAUGGACCCGCGCCGUAUUAGUUAGUUGGUGAGAUAAAAGCCCACCAAGACGAUGAUACGUAGCCGACCUGAGAGGGUAAUCGGCCACAUUGGGACUGAGACACGGCCCAGACUCCUACGGGAGGCAGCAGUAGGGAAUCUUCCACAAUGGACGAAAGUCUGAUGGAGCAACGCCGCGUGAGUGAUGAAGGUUUUCGGAUCGUAAAACUCUGUUGUUAAAGAAGAACAAGUGUUAGAGUAACUGUUAACACUUUGACGGUAUUUAACCAGAAAGCCACGGCUAACUACGUGCCAGCAGCCGCGGUAAUACGUAGGUGGCAAGCGUUGUCCGGAUUUAUUGGGCGUAAAGCGAGCGCAGGCGGUUUUGUAAGUCUGCUGUGAAAGCCCUCAGCUCAACUGAGGAAGUGCAGUGGAAACUACAAAACUUGAGUACAGAAGAGGAAAGUGGAACUCCAUGUGUAGCGGUGAAAUGCAUAGAUAUAUGGGAAGAACACCAGUGGCGAAGGCGGCUUUCUGGUCUGUUACUGACGCUGAGGCUCGAAAGCAUGGGUAGCGAACGGGAUUAGAUACCCUGGUAGUCCAUGCCGUAAACGAUGAAUACUAGGUGUUGGAGGGUUUCCGCCCUUCAGUGCCGCAGCUAACGCAUUAAGUAUUCCGCCUGGGGAGUACGACCGCAAGGUUGAAACUCAAAGGAAUUGACGGGGGCCCGCACAAGUGGUGGAGCAUGUGGUUUAAUUCGAUGCUACGCGAAGAACCUUACCAGCUCUUGACAUCUUCUGCCAACCCAAGAGAUUGGGCGUUCCCUUCGGGGACAGAAUGACAGGUGGUGCAUGGUUGUCGUCAGCUCGUGUCGUGAGAUGUUGGGUUAAGUCCCGCAACGAGCGCAACCCUUAUUAUUAGUUGCCAGCAUUUAGUUGGGCACUCUAGUGAGACUGCCGGUGAUAAACCGGAGGAAGGUGGGGACGACGUCAAAUCAUCAUGCCCCUUAUGAGCUGGGCUACACACGUGCUACAAUGGAUGGUACAACGAGUCGCGAAACCGCGAGGUCAAGCUAAUCUCUUAAAGCCAUUCUCAGUUCGGAUUGCAGGCUGCAACUCGCCUGCAUGAAGUUGGAAUCACUAGUAAUCGUGGAUCAGCAUGCCACGGUGAAUACGUUCCCGGGCCUUGUACACACCG
rnacentral:rRNA from 1 species